UGCAGAAGUCCACAAUCAGCAGCACAUGCUGGGCUCUUCUUCAUCUGCGUGCGGUCGCUCCGUGACCACAUGUGCUGUCCCAGCAGCAGCGAUGUACUGAACAAGUGCAGUCUCGGUUUUCAGGUCUUUCUCUGAUGUAUCCUGUAGUUAAAGGGCCUCUUUCCCUGAAACAGCCCUGAAACACUACUGUGUUUGCUGGCAGGUCCAGCUGAAGCUGUAACGUACGUCACUGAGGCUAGAGGUGCGGGGGAGCUCUGGAGCACUUACAGAGGUGCGGAGGUAACAGCCAUCUCGUUUUCCAUCACUUGUGGAAUAGUGAUUUGGAAAACUCAGGUCCUUUCCAGUAGUAAAAGAUGACAAAAGUUAAUUACAAUAAGGUGACAUUUUUAUUAUUUAUACAAUAAAGAGACUUUUUUUAUGUUAUUCAAAACACUUUUUUAAAUACUGAAAAAGUUGGGUACACCAAAGCCGAAAAAUGGCUCUGCUAUACACUGCACAGCAUUGUUUUAGUCCCUGUAUUUGUUUUAUGUACAGAAGCAUCUGCAAAAUGCAUUCUAAACACAAUAUGCACCUUACGGGUAAGUGUCAUACAUGAAAGAAAACUGGAAGGAUACAACCUGCGUGUGCAAAUUAACUGACGAGAUAAUUGAUUGCACUGAAUCAAUAGAUUUAAAAUAGAAUUUUGAAGUACCUUUUUGCACAUAAAAUGAAGCAGCUUUCAAGUUCAGUAAGUCUUUAUACUGCAAAAAACAUUAAGUACAUUCACAAUCUAUGUUAAUAAAGUAGUAAAUAUUUCUUCAUUCAGCUUUAUUUACAUUAAUACUGUAAUUAAACUGAAAAGUACAGUUAGUCAUUUGUAAUAUAGCAAUCUUUUAACACAUACAAAAAUGACCAUUUUCUGUAUAUAAUUUAAGCUCAAAAUCACAAUUAUCUCAAAAUAUUAAUUACAAUACAGCCAUCUCCAUCAUAAUUAAACAUGUCUUUUAUAAAAUGGUAAAAUUUUUAAUAAAGUAAGCUGUUGGUUUUGAACUGGAUACAGUACUCACGAGUAGAAAACGUAACCGAUAAGUGUUUGUUCUGAGCAGGGUUUCAGGGCAAAGCCACAUAUGCUAGCAAAGAGACAAAGAAGGCCCCAAUUUACAAAGAUGAAGCCUCUUGUGCUGCAGGGCUGUGGCUCGGUUGGUGGUGCUGCAGGAAAAGCCUUACAAGGGCCAUGUAAAUUCUGGCUGCAAUGCAGUGAUGUCAUUCACUUUUAGAAUAUUUGAAUUGUCCCCUAAGAGGAUUCGCAAAGGCUCUUUUUUUUUUCCCUAAGAGAAACUACUUUAGUUCUAAGAGAAACAAAUGGUGUUUUUUAAAAUUGGCUUUUACAGAGAAGUUUCACGUUGGCUGCCCCCAGAGCUCCUCCCACCCCGGAGGAGCACGGAUCACCUUGCCUGGCCUCUGCUGGCCAGAGCCACCGCUCCAGCAUACCCAAACCAAACUUGUUCAAAACAAAACCAAACCACCAAUUAAUUCAUAUCCUAUCCAAACUACUGGCCUGAAAGUUGUAUCAUUACUUUGUAUUCCACUCUUACUAGCAAGACUAACAAAUGAAAUAAGAAAUCCUUAAAUCUGAUUAACUGAAAAUAACACUGUAAAUCUUUGUGUACUAGUUAAAUGAAAGUUCUGAAGGCAGAAGACGUGGGAGGAGUGCACUGAGGCAGGAUGGACAGAACAGUACCAUAGCCCGUGGGUUAGAAGCUCAAGCUUUAGAUAACAGUUUGUUCUUCAUUGGAAAUUCUAAAUGUAAAGUCUGGUAAGCCAACUGGUAGCAGGGCUGCAGAACAGCUGGGCCCUGGGAUUUGGACACGUCUGGCCCUAUCAGGUGCCACCGGCAGCACAGGGACAUCAGCCCCAAUACUGACCACGGGUUCCUUAAGAUCUGCUGCAAAUGAGGGUAAGAGAACCCCAGUGCAGAUUUCCUUCUGCAAUCCAGCCCUUCCCUGAGGAUCAUUUGUUGUUUAUUGCAAGAAAAACCUAAAAAAGAACCCAGCACAGUUCUGUUGAGAUUAAUGCUUCCACUAGGACCUUAAAAAACAGCUUAUUGAGUGCCUGUGUAGUUGACAAGGGAGAACAUAUGGUGUGCCCAGGAGUGCUGUGUAGCCCAAAGAAAGGAAACCAUCUGCAGCUCUGAGCCUGCGCUUGCCUGAUCAGAAUUCCCUCACACGCACACAAGUGAACCCACACAUGGAACUCACCUCUGGGAGAAAAGGAAAGAUGCAAACAACCACGGAAUAUGGAAUUUACAUGCCAACAUAAAAGCCUCGCACUCCCAAGCCUCUCCUGUGCUUCCCAGUAGCCAAAAAGAAAAAGGAAGAGUGCAAACAGUUAAAGACCUGGUGCUUCAUAACACGCCGGGGGGACAGUUCCUACUCUUACCUAUUUGAACCACAGCUGUCUAAACUCACUGCUCGUCCACUUGGUGUGUUCACAUGGAAGCAACUGACAGUGCCCACCGGGAGGACGUGAGCCCAUCUCCGUGCCGGUUGGUUACACUACGUCCCGGGGCUACCGAGUAUCACCCUGUGCAGCGACAGUUUCACCCAUUAGUAUGGAGCCAGCUAUACACACUGCAUAUGUACAGCUGUUGCUGCACUGUAUGUGUAACCAACUCAUGCAGGCACAUUCCUAGUGGGACACAGGUUCUCCUUCAAGGAUUUCAGACAAGUGACAGACAGUGGAAGCACAGCUUGAUUCUAC
rnacentral:lncRNA from 1 species